rnacentral:rRNA from 1 species
AACGAACGCUGGCGGCAUGCCUAACACAUGCAAGUCGAACGAGACCUUCGGGUCUAGUGGCGUACGGGUGCGUAACGCGUGGGAACCUGCCCUUAGGUUCGGAAUAACUCCCCGAAAGGGGUGCUAAUACCGGAUAAUGUCUUCGGACCAAAGAUUUAUCGCCUUUGGAUGGGCCCGCGUUGGAUUAGCUAGUUGGUAGGGUAAAAGCCUACCAAGGCGACGAUCCAUAGCUGGUCUGAGAGGAUGAUCAGCCACACUGGGACUGAGACACGGCCCAGACUCCUACGGGGAGCAGCAGUAGGGAAUAUUAGACAAUGGGCGAAAGCCUGAUCCAGCAAUGCCGCGUGAGUGAUGAAGGCCUUAGGGUUGUAAAGCUCUUUUACCCGGGAUGAUAAUGACAGUACCGGGAGAAUAAGCUCCGGCUAACUACGUG